rnacentral:rRNA from 1 species
GACGAACGCUGGCGGCGUGCUUAACACAUGCGAGUCGAACGGAAAGGCCCUGCUUUUGUGGGGUGCUCGAGUGGCGAACGGGUGAGUAACACGUGAGUAACCUGCCCUUGACUUUGGGAUAACUUCAGGAAACUGGGGCUAAUACCGGAUAGGAGCUCCUGCUGCAUGGUGGGGGUUGGAAAGUUUCGGCGGUUGGGGAUGGACUCGCGGCCUAUCAGCUUGUUGGUGGGGUAGUGGCUUACCAAGGCUUUGACGGGUAGCCGGCCUGAGAGGGUGACCGGCCACAUUGGGACUGAGAUACGGCCCAGACUCCUACGGGAGGCAGCAGUGGGGAAUAUUGCACAAUGGGCGGAAGCCUGAUGCAGCAACGCCGCGUGCGGGAUGACGGCCUUCGGGUUGUAAACCGCUUUCGCCUGUGACGAAGCGUGAGUGACGGUAAUGGGUAAAGAAGCACCGGCUAACUACGUG